UGUCCCUUUGUGUUUGCACUGAUUGACCAUCUACCAAUAGUUCUUCCGGCCAUCUGUUUCAUUCUCUAUCAAAAUCUUCUUAAACCAAACUUUUUUUCCAGCCAUUAGAUUCCCUUUCUCUCAAAUCUUUCUGUUUUCUCUCACCACGAAUGGCAUUACCAAAACGUGGCCACAGGUUUUUCAAAUUCAGGAGCCCCGUCAAUUUCUUGCCUCUACUGAUCAUGUCAAUUUCAAAACUGUCUUGAAAUAAACCCACCUCCACUACUAGCUAAUUCAAAAAAAGUCCACUUUCUACAGAAAACCACACCAGCACAGCAAGUUUGUUGUUUGAUUGCCCAAAAGGAAGAUAUUAUCGUACGUAAGGUUGUAAUGACUUUACAUGGGUUUUCACUGCAUAGGGGCCAUGUAUCCGUCAAGAGGUAACUAUUUUGCUAACAACAAUGAAAACGCUGGCGUAGGAAACAAUUUCUUUGGUCGUUAUGCAGAUGUCCCCAAUGACCAAGACAGAUAUGCAUAUAACAAUUAGUACAACACUGCGGACAACACAUCCAUGUUAGUUAAUGGGAUUGAACGGUUGUCAUUGCAAAACCCCAUUGACUCGUCCAAUGCAAACCAAGGGAUUUGGUAUGGGUCAGGUACUCCUACAUUUGUACAAAACACAUCGAACUUCUCUCAACCAUCAAAUGCAUCAACAUGGGAUGGGUCUUGGAAUGGUGGGCCAGAAUGGGGGGAUCAACAGGGUAGAACAUCCCUUAAAGGAACAUCGAAUCAAUGGGCUCGGUUUCGUAACAAAGAAAGUCAAUAUGGGGGGAAUAUGAUCGAACGAGAUACGCAAUUUGUAAUAGGGACACACCUUCAACUUCACAAAUUCACUCAGACGAAGCAUAUCCCAUGGGUAAUACACGUUUGGUUACGGAGGAGGUUAAUGAAGAGGAAUCGGAUGAGGAGGAGGGGAACGAAGAGGAGUCGGAUGAGGAGGACGAUAACGAAGAGGAAUCAGAUGAGGAGAAGGGCAUUAAAAACAAAGAUUUCAUAAAAUGUCGUGCAUCAACAAGACUUGUAUGUCAUACAAAUGCUAAUGGAGGAAGUCGAUGAAAACCGCCCGAACAAAAAACAAAAGAUACCGUACCUUACAUCGGCCAACAGCGGUUUGGAGUGGGUGAUGUCAACAUUAAAUUCCGACAAUCCUAGAAAGUGUCCUGAAGUAUUCUGGAUGAAAAAGGAAGUGUUCGGAAUGCUAUGCAAUGAAAUGGUUAACAAAUAUGGCUUCCACAUAGGAACAAAACGUGAGGUCAGCGUAAUUGAGAGCCUUGCAAUAUUUUUGUCCUUAUUGCGUGGAUAGACCCUUAAGCAGAUCCAGGAACAAUUCCAACAUGGGCAAGCUACUUGUUCGAGGCAGAUCAACAAAGUCCUAAAAUGUAUGUUAAAAUUGGCAGUGGACGAAAUAAAGCCAACAGGGGAUUACAAUGACCACAUCCUUACUUGCAAGUUAGACCUCAGUACAGACAUUUCAAGGAUUGCAUUGGGGCUAUGGAUGGUACUCAUGUAUUUUGCAAGCCUAAACCAAAGGAUGCGAAAAAAUUCUGGAGACGUAAGGGGGGCCACACUACGAACAUAAUAGCUGUGUGCGACUUUGAUCUAUGCUUCACAUUUGCCUCGCCGGGGUGGGAAGGAGCGAUGCAUGAUUAUUUAAUUUUCAAGGAAUGUGUUCAUGGUAAAGGCAAGAAUAAGUUUCCGCAUCCACCGGAAGGCAAGUACUAUUUAGUGGAUGGUGGCUACCCUAAUGCAAAAGGAUACAUGGCACCGUAGAAAGGGCACAUGUACCACCUAGAGGAUUUUAAGCGCGGAGUGAGACGACACUUGGGCGACUACGAAUACUUUAAUAGGUGGCACUCGUCGCUUCGAUCUGUCAUUGAGCGAACGUUUGGGGUAUGGAAAAAUUGGUGGCGGAUGAUGAAGAUUCCAACAUAUUAUCCAUUGACACUUCACAAGAAGUAUGUUCUGGCUUCCAUGAGCAUACACAACUUCAUAAUCCGCAAUUGUCCGGACGACAAAGAGUUGCAAGAAGCUUUGCAUGAUGAAGAAAACUACGAUAACGAUGAUAUUCCGGACAUUGAUCCCCGAUACGCCCAAAUGGAGGCCGCUGAAGACAUACAAUUUCCGCUACAUGCAAAUGAUUCCAACAUGAGAAAGGUUCGAGAUGAAAUAAUGAUGAACAUGAAAAGGGUCCGACGACGACAAGGAAGAAGUUAAGGUGGGAAUGCUUAGGUUGGGUUGGCCUUGAAUACCUCUGGAAUACGUUAAUGUUACUUAUGGACAAAAAAAAAAGUGGGUUUGUAUUCCACAAUCAAAAAUAUUGUGUAUGAAUCUUGUUUGUUAGAUUUUGAUGCGGUUUAACAAA